GUCGAAGGAGCGGAGCUUAUCCUUUACUUAAUGUAAUGUGCACUCACUCUAAUGGCAUACCUUUUGGAUGAUGGGUUAGAGUGGAAAUGGGAACGGUGGCUUAAGCCAUUAGGUGUAGGCGCUUUCCUGAAGUGGAAUCAUUUAGUUCUUCCUAUUUGACCUAAAAUCGAUAGAUUUAGACAUGAGAAGGUUAAAGAGAGCUCUAAAAGGCCUUAGAGGACAAAACCCACGUAUGUGGAAAAAUACAGGGAAGACUUGUGGCUAGGGGUGAAAGGCCAACCAAGAUCGAAAAUAGCUGUUUUUCCGUGAAAUCUAUUUCAGUAGAGCGUAUGAUGUUGAUGGACCGAGGUAGAACACUCAAUGGGCUAGGGUGGCCUCAUUUCGCCCUACCAACCCUAGGGAAACUCCGAAUUCAGGCCUAGAUAGAUUGUAUAGAAAGACUUUUUGGAUUCUGAGGUCUAAAGUCGAGAGGAAAACAACAUAGAUCAUAUGCUAAGGUCCCUUAGCAAUCACUUAAUGGAAAAGACAGUGAUUGAGUGAUGACAACCAGGAGGUCGGCUUGGAAGAAGUCAUCCUUUGAACAAAGCGUAAUAGCUCAUUGGUCUAGCUCCAUGGUACCAAAAAUGUAUCAGGGCUCAUGUUAUUCACUGAAGAGAUCAUAUGUUGAAAACUUCUUUUUCAAGUGUCAGUAGCAGAACGUUCUGUUAAUCGGGGAUGGUUUUUGGUGACAAGACUUUGAGAAAUCAGAAGCGAGAAUGCUAAC
rnacentral:ncRNA from 1 species